rnacentral:misc_RNA from 1 species
UUGAUUCAUUUAUCGUGUUACUCAGAAUAUGCCACUAUAAUGCAAGAGUUUGGGUCCUCCGGCGGGCGCCUGGUUCCGGGCCGCGAGGGCGCCGGGGCGGUCCCGCCGAAGCAACGUUCGGGUAUGUUCACAGGGGUUUGGGAGUUGAUAACUCGGUAAUGAUCCCUCCGCUGGUUCACCAACGGAGA